GCACAAGCGGCGGGCGAGUGCACCGGGAUAUCAGACGUGCCGUUACCCACACCGGACACCCGGGCGAGCUGAAAACUUUCAGACAUUCUUUCAGUCCACUCGUGACCUUCUCGCUUGCGUUUUCAAAGCUGCCGGUGAACCCGCCCUCGACUUCCUCCCGCAUAGUUAACGGAAAAUGCGGAAAUGUCACGCGAGAAGGUCGCGCUCAUCGUCUAUUGAUGUGAUAAAGGUUAAUAAAUAUACCGGGAAGCCACUCAGGUGGAGACAGCUCUCCUGGGGCACCUGUUUUCCAUUCUAAUUACGCACUUUCGCCUUUGUGAGGGACAACACUCAACUUGCAUUGUCUUUUCAUUGCCUUUCGAGUGCCCAAUUAGUUGUGUGAUGUUUGAAGUGGGUGGCGUGGAGGCACCUCGAGGACUAAUUUAUUUGUGGCAGACCUACACUGUUGACUGACACCGCUGGCCAUGGAUGACGACCUCCGUUAAUUGCAUUUUUGGAGGAGGCAGUUAGCUGGUGCUCUUUGAAAGAGGUUUUUCUAGAGGACGAUCUUGGACCCAGCAAAGUGCCCUUUAUCUGGACCACGGAAACAUUUCCCCGUUAGCUUUCGUUAGCUUUUGGGCUGUUUGAGCCGCACUUAUCCAGGUGUGAAAGAGCAUUUGGAAAAAACGAGACACUCUUCUAGUGUAAUGUUGAUUUAUCUGUCAGUAAAGGUGUACUGCUGACACAGUUAACACUCAGUUAACUCUUACUUUGCAUUUGACAGCCGCAACUUUCAACGUUUUAAAAAUGGGACCUUUUACGCUUCAUACCGGCGCUUGACAAGAUACAGGUGGCUGACGGUUGGAACGCCAGGCUUCACGGCUAAUAUGAGAUCAUGGCUGAUGCCUGAGCUCGUGCCCUCCGGGUGGCAUACGGAAAAGAGGAAUGUAGUCCUCACACUCCAAGACAUCUCAGAACGUUCCUAAUUGGCAUAGCCUCCAAUAUAACACUAUUUUUCACCUCUCUUUUGUCUUUCUCAGAGCCUGGAAGUAUAAAAAAAGGCAAUAAGGUGGGACAACGGAUAAAUCAGGAUUAGCUCUUGGGGGUUACUGCUAAGAACGUUGGGUUCUGAUUGAGCAGCCUGCCAUAAACCUUCACUAAGUACUGCACGGACUCGUGGGCGCCUCAGAGGACAGCAACGGCAUCCUUAGCUGUCCCUGAAAGCUCGUCAAACCCCACUUCUCCACACGACAGCUGGAGCCAGCUACGCCGCAUCAGUGGUCGCGGUGUCGUCUGUCAUCACCACCAGGCCUGCAGGGAGAAAACUCCAGCAAGGGCAAAAAGCUGAGGAGUAACAAGGAUGAGAGGACUUGAGGGGGAGGUGGGAGCGGAGCCAGAGGCGUCAACGAGGAGGUCUUGACUUAUUUUUAACCCUAAUUUAUAGAAGCAGAGGGCGAUUUUUACACGUAAAAGUACGUGGUUAUUAGUUUCAACAGCUUGCCUACAAUUGACAGCGCCUCUUCCACUUCAGCCUCUCCCGCUCUGCCAGGCUUCCAUGCAAACUCAUAAUCUGAGGCGAAAACUCAGAGUUUGAGUGCAAAGACCAGGCAGGGUGCCGAAGUAUUUACCAGAUGCCACAUAUAUCAUGCUGAACUUAUGUGGAAAGGGUGUCACACAAAAGACUAUUCUGUCACAUGAAAAAUCUACGCUAGAUAAUAUUUACAGUUGCACCAUAUUGCCUAUUUCUAGAGUCUGCGAUCUGUCAUUUGUCUUGCUGGUGGUUUGUUUUGAUUUCAACAAAGAAAUUCCAUCCCAAAGCGAUCCUCAAAGCGCUAUUUCACCAUCUCUCUUCCAUUUUGUGAAUAUCAAAGAUGAAAACAGAUGCUGAGGCUUUAUAUUUGACUGUCACCAUGAGUAAGAGAGGUUCCAUAUUCAAAUUUAUGCAGCAAACAAGUGACUGGGGAGGGACUGUCCUUCCAUCAGUUUCUCAUAUCUACUACCCAGGGCAAUGUGCAGAGCUCUGAUGGGUGUAGAAACAUAAUUACAGACCUGAUGCAUACGCUUAAAACUCCCCUCCUUCGACUUAACAAGCUCGGUCUCAAGGCGCAAACUGUUUCUGAUUUACAUAUGCCAACUUUUCUGUGCAGAUUAUAGAACGUUUUUCUGUGUUGUGAAUCUUUGAUCUCAGCUUUUACUCCCUUGUCUUCUUUUGCAUUUUUGCCCUUUUCGACGAAAAUAGUCAACCGCAUAUACAUAUACAUGCAUAAUGUUUCCACUGGAUACGUUUUAUGUACGUUUCAUAACAGCCUCUUUUUAGAAACACAGAACGCCUCGCUUCUCUAACUCCAUUUUCCACAGCCUCAAUGGCUACUGUCUCUGUGGAAAGCUCUUUAUGGGUCUCUACAAGAAUAAUCACUCUGCUCCUGACUGACUCAAAGGUCAGCUCCAUCCCCCAGGCAACAGAAUAUCGUUUGUGACAGGAGCCACACCAGUUUGAAUCACUUGACCAGUUGAACAGGAGCUGGUAAGACGCACCAACCAAACCUUUGACAGAAUAGAUUCUAAUUCAUGACGUUUUUUCAGACUUGCAAAUGUUGCAUCGUGAAAUCGCCACUUCAUAAUGUCAGCAAUGACAUUCACGACAUGCAUAAUGCAAAGGACACACCGAUGCAGAGAUGCCGACGCCCGUGCUCAAUAUGGUGGUGAUCAUCUAGAAUACUUCAUUGUAACAUUCAAGGUACACAUAAUUUACGGCAGUAAGAACUGCACAGCUUUUGAGCAGUCGUGUGAGGGUCUGAACUGUUGCGUCAUUUCACAGCAAAGAGGACACACACACACACACGUCUUCAUCAGCAUUCAUACGACAAAUCUUUCCCUGCCUGCACAACCCAACCUACAAAAUAGGUUUUUCAAGAACGGAACACAUUACAUAUGCAUCCUCUUGAAGAACAGAGGCUCUGAAUAGAUCCCCACAAGAUAGACCUCUAACCGAAGAGACCAUGCAUGUUCAAUAGAACUCUUGAAACUAAGUAAGGGCAAAUUGCAGGCCAAAUGGUACAGAAGGGGAAUAGCAGAGUGGCUUCGAGUGUUGACCCAAUUCUACUGCCAAUAUCCUUGGCAGAAGAAGUGCCUUUUGUCUGCACCCUCAAACAGCGGAAUAUGAUCAAUUUCAGCCUUCAUUUUCUUUGCCACAGCUGAGGAAGGAUUUGUGUCAAAGGCGUCUCUUGUUUGAAGGCAUGAGAGAGCGCGCUGAUGAGAAAGAGCCUGUUUACUACUGUACACGCCAGCCUGGGAGGGAAAUCUCUGCGAUGACGCGACGGAGCUUUGAAGUCUGCUGAUGGUUUGAUGUUGCAGCAGUCCAGUAGCUUACCGAGCCAUGAGGAGCCUGUGCUUUCCCCCGAGGGCUGUAUCACCUAUAAAAUAACCGUCCCGUUCAGCAACACUGCAGUAAAUACGGUUUGAAAUGUAUUUUCUCACCACCAGAAAAAGCUACAAAACCCAAUGUCAAUGCAAUGUCAAAUGCAAACAUAGUCACUUGACCUUAAAAUGUAACAAUGCUGUUUUGUUGUAGCGGAGCUCAAUUUUCAGGAGACCAGGCCGCGUGUCACACAGACAGGCAAAAAAAGGACCAUAAAUUAGGGCAAUAAUAAGUUCCCCGCUAUUCAGCUCCCUUCUUAUCCCGUCCUGCCGAGAAAGAAACUGAGCAAAAUAAUCCAAUCACGGCUUUUCCAUGGAUUCCAUUUGCUUUUAAUUGCCUUGUCCGUGCUUUGGAGGUCGCUCGCCACACUGGAGAGACGGGGAAGGGCGCUGGCGGCUAAAUCUACGAAAUGGCUCCAAUUCCCGGCGGGAUUACCAGCGUCGCCUCCAAAGCCGUCACCCUCGGUGGAGCACCGGAGCCCCACAGCCCGUCCGAUGCCGUUUUAUCGCGCAGCGCUGUGGGCCGUCCUGCACCGCUGCCAGUGUGUUGUUUUGUGCGCUGAAGCCAGAGGCGUUUAUAUACAUCUCUAUUUUUAGUGUUGUACCGCUUUGUUGAAGUUAUUGGGCACCAAAGAGCCAGCAGUGUCUCCGCCGUGCAUGGAGAUCCUAGCGCACAACUGAAAAGAAGGUUCCCUCAAGGGUUCUUUUUUGUUCUGCGACUUGAACGAGGCCUUACUCUUCACAUUGCAGCCUGAUUUAAUUGAUAACGGCCUCGAGCGGGAAAAACCAUUUCAGUGUGCUGAUAGGCUUCAUUAGCUUUAGUUGUUACUUAGUCAGGUUUUAAAUGUAUUGUCCCCUGACAAAAGAUCGCUGGGUAGUUUAUUUCCUUUUUUUCCUCCACCCACCCGCCUCUUCUUCCCAGAGGCUGCAUUUGGCGUUUGAAGGCGAAGCAGCUUUUACAGCUGCGCCUAUGUGGAGAAGAAGAACGAGUCAAAGUGGUGGUGGAAUAAAUGUAGCAGCAGCAAAAGCACGAGGAGCAGAACGUUGAGUGGGGUAUGCUGUCUGCGCUGUGUGUAUCCAGAUAAAAGGGAUUUUUCGGUGGAAAAACAUUCAUUAUACAUUCACGAAACCCCGAGUAAAAAAACAGAACCCCUACAAAGAGAUUACAGAACAGAGAGGGAGCUUCAGAGGAGCAGCAAGUGGGGCACCAUGUAUUUACACACACAGACCACGUUCUCCACGGGGCAAUUAUGGGAAAACCUUCAGGUCUCAAUAUCAAAUCAAAUCUGCGCUGAAAAUUUGUAUUUAAAAACAUGGCAUCGAUUUGUGAUUUUACAGAUACCGUAAGUAGCCCAGCACGGUUUGAUUCUAAUCUAACAUGGAGAAGCAGCGUUCACUUUUUCUGCUCCGCAUAUCUGGAACAAAGUCCCAGAAAGCUGCAGGUCUGCUGAGUCCCUCAGCUCCUUUAAAUCCAGAUUAAGGGAUUUUCUGUUCGCUGCUGCCUUUAAUUGACCGAUUGUGCAAUUAAAGACAUUCUUAAACUACACUGCAAAUUUUAUUCUAUUCUUAAUCUUUUGACUCUUUUAUGCUUUUAAUGACUGUUUUUUUCUUUUAUGUUUUGAAUUAAUGUUCUUAACUGUUUGCAUAUUUUUAAUAGUUUUAUGUGAAUUGCCUUGUUGUUGAAAGACGCCUUACAAACAAAACUUCCCUGAUGUGCUAAUGGCUGCAGAGAAAAGCAGAAUCUUCUGUUCCACUCAAAAGCUGCUGCGCUGGAGGCAGAGGAACAUGAAGCUUUCCCAGAGACGUUAUGUUCUUGCCAAACAGUGCGCUGCCUUUCUGCCACCUCCCUGCUGAGAGUGUUCUCCUCUGCACAGCUGCCUGCUUCUGCCCCCCAACACGUACGAUCCUCUGCGGAUCCGGAUUUCCAGGCUUCGAGAACGUUGACUGGUGAGAUAUUUUCAAGCCAUUUCCUCUGAGCUCGUGUUCCGUCAGAUGAGAGACGGAGAGAAUGAAAUCAUAGACAAAAGCCCGGCUUCCUUCUGGGCUUUCCAAAUGAAAGAGACCUCCAUCUUCACUUCAAGGGCCGAGCGAGAGGAGGCGGAUGAAAGAGCAGCUGGGUUUUACUGAGGCAUCUGAACUCUGCGCGCUCUCGCCAUGCGGGAUAUCGGCCGCAGGAACUGAUGUAACAUUUAGGGUUUGCUCGCAAAGCACACGCACCUGUGCAGGUAAAUCAGCGAAUAGAUAACUCCACUGAUUAGAGGUUUGUUCCCGCGUUAGAACAGCUCCACCAUCCGAAACAGCGGCGUAAUUCUCACAGCUACACAAACAUUGGUUGUACUUUGGAAAGUGUCGUUGAAGAGUCCUUUGAAAUAUGAGGAGUUUACAUGUUUGCUGAAGGUUGGUAGGAGGUGGGCGGUGAACUGAGCUGAGUUUUAGGUCCCUCCUUUGCCUUUAAAAAAUAUCUGCUGCUUUUUAUGUCAAAAGCAUCAAGUUUGGUACUUCAAAGGUGAAAUUUGACUACUUCCAUACUUUUCGCCCUCUCAUCGAAUUGCUGUUCUAAUGUGUCCUUUUUGCAUAUACCUGUGUAGCUUUAAUGUAAUGUGUGGUUCUAGUCACAAAUUUGCCCAAAGGUGUCUACUUUUCACUACAUAAAUGAAUGUAACAUAAAAAUAUGUUGUCCGUAUUGUUUGAAUAAAGCUGGUACUCAUGUA